rnacentral:rRNA from 1 species
CGGCGAAAGCCGGAUUAAUACCGCAUACGCCCGAGAGGGGAAAGCCGGGGACCGCAAGGCCUGGCGCGAUUGGGUUGGCCGAUGUCCGAUUAGCUAGUUGGCGGGGUAAGAGCCCACCAAGGCGAUGAUCGGUAGCUGGUCUGAGAGGAUGAUCAGCCACACUGGGACUGAGACACGGCCCAGACUCCUACGGGAGGCAGCAGUGGGGAAUUUUGGACAAUGGGGGCAACCCUGAUCCAGCCAUUCCGCGUGAGUGAAGAAGGCCUUCGGGUUGUAAAGCUCUUUUGUCCGGAACGAAACGGUUGGCGUGAAUAUCGCCGACUACUGACGGUACCGGAAGAAUAAGCACC